rnacentral:rRNA from 1 species
GACGGAGGAUGCAAGUGUUAUCCGGAAUCACUGGGCGUAAAGCGUCUGUAGGUGGUUUAAAAAGUCCACUGUUAAAAAUUGAAGCUUAACUUCAAAGAUGCCGUGGAAACUUUUAAACUUGAGUAUGAUAGGGGUAGAGGGAAUUUCCAGUGGAGCGGUGUAAUGCGUAGAUAUUGGAAAGACCACCAAUGGCGAAGGCACUCUACUGGGCCAUUACUGACACUGAGAGACGAAAGCUAGGGGAGCGAAUGGG